UACAGAGGUCUCAAGCGUUGUUCGGAUUCAUUGGGCGUAAAGGGCGCGUAGGCGGCGGGGUAAGUCGGGUGUGAAAUCUCAGAGCUCAACUCUGAAACUGCACUCGAUACUGCUCUGCUUGAGGACUGGAGAGGAGACUGGAAUUCACGGUGUAGCAGUGAAAUGCGUAGAUAUCGUGAGGAAGACCAGUGGCGAAAGCGGGUCUCUGGACAGUUCCUGACGCUGAGGCGCGAAGGCCAGGGGAGCAAACGGG
rnacentral:rRNA from 1 species